rnacentral:rRNA from 1 species
GUCCACGCUGUAAACGAUGGGUGCUAGGUGUUGGAGGUAUCGACCCCUUCAGUGCCGUAGCUAACGCUUUAAGCACCCCACCUGGGGAGUACGUUCGCAAGAAUGAAACUCAAAGGAAUUGACGGGGGCCCCGCACAAGCGGUGGAGCAUGUGGUUUAAUUCGACGCAACGCGAAGAACCUUACCUGGGCUUGAACAGGAGAGGACAGCCUGUGAAAGCAGGUUUCCCGCAAGGGUCUCUCUAGAGGUGCUGCAUGGCUGUCGU